GAUGAAGAACGUAGUGAAAUGCGAUACUUGGGGUGAAUUGCAGAAUCCCGUGAACCAUCGAGUCUUUGAACGCAAGUUGCGCCCGAAGCCAUUAGGCCGAGGGCACGCCUGCCUGGGUGUCACACGUCGUUGCCCCCCCAUCUACUCCUUCGGGAUCGCGGGGGGCGGAUGAUGGCCUCCCGUGCGCCUCGUCGCGCGGUUGGCAUAAAUGCCAAGUCCUCGGCGACGCACGCCACGACAAUCGGUGGUUGCGAAACCUCGGUUGCCCGUCGUGUGCGGUCGUCGCGCAUCGAGGGCUCGAAAAAAUUGCCGGGCUCCGGCUCGGCUUUCAACGCGACCCCAGGUCAGGCGGGGUUACCCGCUGAAUUUAAGCAUAUCAAUAAGCGGAGGA
rnacentral:misc_RNA from 1 species